UUUUAUUUGAGAGUUUGAUCCUGGCUCAGGAUGAACGCUGGCGGCGUGCCUAACACAUGCAAGUUGAGCGAUUUACUUCGGUAAAGAGCGGCGGACGGGUGAGUAACGCGUGGGUAACCUACCCUGUACACACGGAUAACAUACCGAAAGGUAUGCUAAUACGGGAUAAUAUAUUUGAGAGGCAUCUCUUGAAUAUCAAAGGUGAGCCAGUACAGGAUGGACCCGCGUCUGAUUAGCU
rnacentral:rRNA from 1 species